rnacentral:rRNA from 1 species
UACAGAGGUCUCAAGCGUUUGUUCGGAUUCAUUGGGCGUAAAGGGUGCGUAGGCGGCGCGGUAAGUCGGGUGUGAAAUCUUGGAGCUUAACUCCGAAACUGCAUUCGAUACUGCCGUGCUUGAGGACUGGAGAGGAGACUGGAAUUUACGGUGUAGCGGUGAAAUGCGUAGAUAUCGUAAGGAAGACCAGUGGCGAAGGCGGGUCUCUGGACAGUUCCUGACGCUGAGGCACGAAGGCCCAGGGGGAGCAAAACGGGG